CCCUAAUAACGUAACCUAAAUAAAAAAGGAUUGCUGAAAUAACUAAGGCAGUAUCCUAAAUAAACUAGGAUUGCUGAAACAAUAAUGCUGACUAAACUACUAACUAAUAACUGGACAAACAUAAAUUAACAAGGGUUACAUUUUGUGCCAAUACGCCCCCUCAAGUUAGACGAUGGGUCACUAAGCCUAACUUGGAAAGAUUUUGCUGAAAAGCAAGUUUAGUCAAUGCCUUGGUGAGAGAGUCUGCUAGUUGAUCAUCACGAUGAAUAAGGACAACCUGAACCUUUUUUACGUUGACAUGGUUGCGAACAAAGUGAAAAUCUACUGCAGCAUGUUUCACAUGACUAUGGAGGACUGAAUUUUUGCUCAAGAAUGUGGCUCCAAGAUUGUCACAAUAAAUGGUGGGCAAUUGAUGUACUGGAAAGUGCAACUCAGCGAGGAGAAUGGUAACCCACAUGGUUUCUGAAAAGGCAUUAUCCACUGCCCUAUACUCGGACUCAAUGGAGGAGCGAGAGACAGUAUUUUGUUUCUUUGAUGACCAGCUAAUGGGAUUGUGUCCAAGGAACAAGAUAUACCCAGAUGUGGAAACUCGGUCUGCAAUGUCCCCACCCCAAUCUGCAUCAGAGUAUACGUGUAGAUUGAAGUCCUCAAUAGGAGUUACACGUAAGCUUAGUUGAAUGGUACCAUGCAGGUAGAACACGUUUCACAGCUUUCCAGUGAAGGUCCGACAGCGCUUGCAUAAACUGGGACAAUUUAUUCACAGCAUAGGCGAUGUCAGGUCUAGUGAAAGAUAGGUAUUGAAGCUUGACUAAGACCCGAUGAUAGCGUGUGGCAUCAGUCAAAUAAGUAUCAUCAGACAGUAUGAGCAAUUCAGUUGCACUCAUUGGCGUGUGAACACUUUUGCAGUCGGUCAUUAACUCAUUAUUUAGGAUCUCAUUCACAUAGUUUGCUUGGGUGAGAAUUAAACCAUUAGAGUUGCAUAUUAUUCAACACAACACCAAGAAAGUAGUGAAGAUUUCCCAAAUCUUUAAUUAAGAAUUUAGAAGCAAGAGAGGUGAUAACCUGAUCGGCACUUGAACUGUUGCUCCCAGUGAUAAUAAUAUCGUCUACAUAGACAAGGAUGAACAUUGUCUCACCUAGACCUUGUCUGAAAAGUAGUGAGGCAUCAGAUUUUAUUUUAACAAAUCCUAUGGAUGAGAGAUAACCUGUGAGAGCAUUGUACCACACCCAAGGGGCUUGGUUCAAUCCAUAAAUUGCCUUGCGUAGACGGCAUAUAUGAGUUAGUUUGUCAGCAUUAGUGAAUCUCAGAGGUUGUUCCAUGUACACCUCCUCUUCUAAGUUUUCUUGAAGGAAUAUAUUGUUGAUUUCCAACUGACAGAGGCGCCAAUUGUGGCAAAGUGCCACAGAGAGGAUGAUUCAAAUAGUAGUAGACUUUACGACUAGGCUGAAAUUCGCAUGGAUGUCAAUGCCCGGCCUCUAAGUGAAUCCUUUCGCAACUAACCUCAUUUUAUAUCUGUCAAUAGACCUAUCUGUAUUCCGUUUGAUCCUAAAAAGCCACGCCACUUACACGACACAAUACUUUUAGUUGGGUUAGGAGGAACAAGUUUUUAAGUCUGGUUUUUAAUUAAAGCAUCAAGUUCCUGUUUCAUUUCUUCACACCACUGGAGAUGUUUUUGUGCUUGUUUGAAAGUAGUGGGUGUGAUGGUGGGGUUCACUUUGGCUAGGUAACCAAAAAUUUGUUUUGGUUUAGUGAUGUUGUUUUGGGAUCGCGUAACAACAUAGGUAGGAGGAGAAGGACACUAAGGUGGUGAAGGAGCAAGCUCCGACGUAGAGAUAGGAUAGGCUGGUCGAUAAUCUAUGGGCGUAGGUGGAAUUGUGUUCCUGCGAUGAUAAAUGAGGAGGGGACGCGGGCUACAUAUUUUGUUUAGUUCACUGUCGGAGUCGGAUUGUAAGUUUGAGUUGGCCUGUAACUCUGCUAGAGAAGGAGAAGAUACAGAUGUUUGGGCAUCUAUUUCUAGAGGAAUUGGAAGCUCUAAAGUUAUGGGAAGUUUGGGCGGGGGAUCAAGAGAAUUUGAAACCAUGAUAUUGUCCCAUUUUAGGUAAGAUGAUUUGAUGGCAAUAUUGGAGAACAUUGUUUUGAAAGGGAAAACAUUCUCAAUAAAUUGCAAGUCUCGAGAUAAAUAUACCUUUGUAGAAAUUGGGUCAAAACAUUGGUGACAAUGAUGAGAUAAGGAAAAUUCGAGAUAGACACACGGGGUAGAUUUUGGUUCAAGUUUAUUUUUGGAGUAUGGUUUAAGCCAGGGAUAGCAUAAACACCCAAAAAUUCGCAGAGAGCUAUAAUCAGGUGAUUUUCCAAGUAGAAGCUGGACUGGGGAUUGGUUAUCUAGUUGAUAGAUGGGCAAACGGUUAAUGAGGUAGACCAUGUGAUGACACGCGAAAGACCAAAAUUAAGGAGGAAGGGAUGCCUUAUGUAAGAGCGUUCUUACAGUUUCGACGAUAUGGUGAUGUCGUCGUUCUGCAAGUGCAACUCAUUGAGGUGUAUAUGGUGAAGUGGGGAGGUGUUCAAUGCCGUGAAGUGAGAGAUAAGGUUCAAUACUUUUAUAUUCUCCUCCACUAUCAGUGUACAGCGAUAAAAUUUUGGUGUCAAAGUGCUUUUCCAUCAUAGGAUGGAAUUUUUGGAAGAUCUCUUUAACCUCACUUUUAUUUUUUAAUGUAUAGAGCCAAGUAUAUUUGGUAUAUUGAUCAAUAAAAAUACAAUAAUACAGUUUCUUGUCAAGAGAUAAGAUUGGUGAUGGCCCCCAUAAAUCACUGAGGAUUAUUUGAAGCGGUUUAGAGUUGCAUAAUGAUAAUUGAGUAAAAGGAUGCCGAUGGGCUUUAUUAGAUAGGCAAGAAUUACAAUAAAAAGGUUUGUCUCACUCAUGAAACAUUAGCGAGAAUUUAUUUAAAAUAAACCUAAGAACUCUAAAGUGGGGAUGACCCAACCUUUGAUGCCAAGUAGUGAGAGGGUGGAUGUGGCGGUCAUGUGAGCUUGGGGAUGUUAGACAGGCCACUCAUACAGUCCAUUAUUGGUCCGGUCAUGCACCAGUGGUUUCCGCAUUUUCAAAUCCUUCACAACAAAGUCAAAGGGAAAAAAUUCAAUGGACAUCGAAUUGUCUUGACAAAAUUUUGAAACAAAGAGAAGUUUGUGUUUAAUAGAUGGGGCACAAAGAGUGUGAGUUAGCUUAAAAAAUUAUUUGGCGCAUUUAAUUGAGUAGAACCAGUGUGAGAGAUGGGAAUUUUGUUACCGUCACCCAUGGAGACAUCCUCGUUACCAUGGUAUGGUUGUAGGUUGUGUGGCUCCGUGGUAAUGUGAUGAGUGGCUCCGGAGUCGACUAUCCAGGGGUUAGUGGCAGCAGUAAGUCCAGCAGCAUAGUUGGCUUUGGCCUCAAAGUGAUUAUGAGACUUCGAACGGCAGACAUUGGCGGUGUGUCCAAUCCUAUAGCAUAGUUGACAUUGAGUAACAGUCUUUGGGUUGGAGUUGGUCUACCACUGUGGUGUAGUGUUAGGAUGUGAAUUAUACUGCCACUGUGGAGAAUUAUUAUUCUUCCAUUGUAGAGAAUUAUUAUUCUGCCGACGACUAUUAUGAUUAUUGGUAUUGGUUUUGGUGGGAGUCGCAACCGCGGCAGUUAUGGGAUUGGAAAGUUUCUUAACAUUCUCAUGACGAAGGAAAAGUUCAUGGUCAAGUAGUUUUUCAAACAAUUCUUCAUAUGAGACAGUCGUAUCACGUGCACGGAUGGCAGCAAAGAUUUCACGAAAUUCAGGACCUAGACCGCUGAGUAUUUUGACGAUGAGUUCAGGAUUUGACACAAGAGAACCAGCCAUGGCUAACUCGUCCAAAGGGGCCGAAUAGUGUGAAGAUAUUCAGUGAUGAAACGAGAUUCCUUAGUGAAGCGAGCAAGUUGAUCACGCAGGCUGAAGACAAGGGUUUAUGAUCUGUUUGCAUAAGUGGUGUGUAGAGCGUCCCAGGACAAUUUGGAUGAAUUGGCUGCAGCAACAGUUGGAGUAAUUGUGGGUUCAACAGAUAUCAUGAGGGCAUUCUGGAUGAGUUGGUCCUAACGGAACCAAGUUAAAAAGGCAAGAUUGUGAGAUACAUUGUUGCCAAUGGUGAGGGUGCGAGUAGGGGCGGGAGUGGUCCCAUCGAGAUGGCCAAAUAGAUUGUAACCAUACAUAAGCAUGGAGAAUUGAGCUUUCUAGGUGGCAAAAUUAUCGCCACCCUGAGUUUGAUGGGUAACUAGGACGCAGGGUUGAAUUGAAUGAUAAUGUUAGCACCUGUUGUGUUAUCAGCGUUAACAACUCUAGGAUUGUUGGCCAUUGCUGAUGAUCUGCGUGAGGAAGAGGAAAAAAAUAGGACCGUUCUCGUUAGAGAGUAUAGAGCCCUGAUACUAUAUAAGCGCAAAGUAACUGCUGAACAGAAUUGUUUAAUAUUGAACGCAGACAACCUUUUAAAUAGAGUUACAAACAAAAUAAUAAGACUCCUAGACCAACCCCAAUAACAUAACCUAAAUAAAAAAGGAUUGCUGAAAUAACUAAGGCAGUAUCCUAAAUAAACUAGGAUUGCUGAAACAAUAAUGCUGACUAAACUACUAACUAAUAACUGGACAAACAUAAAUUAACAAGGGUUACGUUUUGUGCCAAUACAAUUGAGCCUCAAAGACUUAAGGUUUUUAGGUCUAGAAAUCAAGAAAUUAAUACCAAAUUUGAAGAAAUCUUACCUUAGAUUUGUAGCAAAAAUGGAUUACACAAGUUAUUCAAGCUCCUAAUCAACCCACAAGACUCAUUUUUUAGUCAACAAUCUCUCAAUGCUGCUAAAGUUUUCAAAGAAAUGAAAAAUGCCC
rnacentral:lncRNA from 1 species